GGAGGUGGCAAGCGUUGUUCGGAAUUACUGGGCGUAAAGGGCGCGUAGGCGGCAGGGCAAGUCAGGUGUGAAAGCCCCGGGCUCAACUCGGGAACUGCAUCUGAAACUGCUUUGCUUGAGUCCUGGAGGGGGUAGUGGAAUUCCCAGUGUAGCGGUGAAAUGCGUAGAUAUUGGGAGGAACACCGGUGGCGAAGGCGGCUACCUGGACAGUGACUGACGCUGAGGCGCGAAAGCUAGGGGAGCGAACGGGAUUAGAUACCCCGGUAGUCCUAGCCGUAAACGAUGGGCACUUGGUGUCGGGGGUAUUGAGUCCCUCGGUGCCGGAGUUAACACGUUAAGUGCCCCGCCUGGGGAGUACGGUCGCAAGACUG
rnacentral:rRNA from 1 species